rnacentral:rRNA from 1 species
AUUGAACGCUGGCGGCAGGCCUAACACAUGCAAGUCGAACGAGUGGCGGACGGGUGAGUAAUGUCUGGGAAACUGCCUGAUGGAGGGGGAUAACUACUGGAAACGGUAGCUAAUACCGCAUACCAUCAGAUGUGCCCCGAUGGGAUUGGCUAGUUGGUGGGGUAACGGCUCACCAAGGCGACAAUCCCUAGCUGGCCUGAGAGGAGGACCAGCAACACUGGAACUGAGCCAGGGUCCAGACUCCUACGGUAUGCAGGAGUGGGGAAUAUUGCACAAUGGGCGCAAGCCUGAUGCAGCCGUGCCGCGUGUAUGAAGAAGGCCUUCGGGUUGUAAAGUACUUUCAGCGGGGAGGCGUUACCCGCAGAAGAAGCACCGGCUAACUCCGUGCCAGCCGCCGCGGUAAUUC